rnacentral:rRNA from 1 species
UACGUAGGGGGCAAGCGUUGUCCGGAUUUAUUGGGCGUAAAGCGCUCGCAGGUGGUUCGUCGCGUCGUGCGUGAAAGACCCCGGCUCAACUGGGGAGGGUCGUGCGAUAUGGGCGGACUGGAGGCCAGUAGGGGGAUGCGGAAUUCCGGGUGUAGUGGUGGAAUGCGUAGAGAUCCGGAGGAACACCAGCGGCGAAGGCGGCAUCCUGGACUGGUCCUGACACUCAUGAGCGAAAGCGUGGGGAGCGAUCCGG